CCCUCCCACACACCUCCCUCGGCUAGGUGUCUGGGUGCUAACGCACAGAGCCACACACACAGAAGCCACGUCUGCAUCAUCCCUGCCCUCUCCACGUGGCUCUCCUAUGACCUCACCCGACAAGGAGACCAGGUUGAAUGUCCCACUCAAGGUCACGCAGUGAGUAGGAGGCCCGCCAAGGCCCAGCGGGGCAGCCGGCAGCCCCUGUACUGACUGCUGGCUCCGGUCAGAACAGAGGCCCCCAGCCUGGGGUGCGGAGGGAGCCUCGCUGUCAGAGUCCCGUCACUGAGGGGUGAGCGGGCUGACCGGGCUGGCAGCACGGCUGGCCUCUCCUGCCCCCACCUGCCCUGCACCUGCAGGCUCCGCCCUCCCAUGCAGGAACGCGCCCUCUGCUGAGCUCGUCUGUUCCAGUCAUACCUUCCAGAACCAGGGAAAACCACAGAUGGGCCCACCGGGAUCAGACCUGAGCUAAGGCUCCAUGGGUCACCUGGCCUCCACUGGCCCCUCCUCCGACACAGUGAGGUCUGUCUCCUGGAAUUCACAUCAGUUCAGAGCCAGCACCCAGCAGUCCCUGAAAGGGUUGACACCUGUAGCCCGUGCCACCCCAGGAUCUGACUGCUCUGCUGCACUUCGGUUUCCUAACUCAGUAGCUGCAGCUGCCGCUGUGAUGUCUGACCUGCAAGAGAGAACCAGGCACAGAGCGCUUGGAGGAGGCUGGGGCUCCCCCACCCAGAUUCAUUUCUCACGGGCAUGGCAGAAGGAGUGUCCCCUGGACCCUCCCAGGCAGGGGAACUCACCCCAAUCUCCCUAAGCCUUUGAAUCCUGUCCACUACAGGUGUGUCUGGCAUUUCACCAUUUUGCGUAGAUCACUUUUGGCCCACGCUUCGGACCCCAACCACCAACCAGUCAGGGCCCUUUGUAACCCCAAGAACAGCAACAUUCAGCCCAGAAUCUCUGCUUGGUGGGCCCCCAUCCGUAAAUGCAGCUGAUCCGCUUUAUGUUCCUUCCCCAUUAUCCCUGCAGUAGGGUGUCUGGUUCUUCCCCGCUUUCCUUCUAGGUCCCGACCCAAAAUUAGAGUGCCUCGACAUUUUGUGACCCAGCUGCAGUUUUGGGGGCCUUGAACAUUCCCAGGCACUGAUAAAGUUGCUCCCGGCCCUAUGAGGACAUGACAUUAAUGGACUGCCACGCACCUCCCCAGCUAGGCCGCGUGUCCUGGCGGCCACAACCCCAUCUUGCUCAUAGCCGCAUCCCCAGCACCGAGCCCAGAACCGGGCACACAGAAGAUGCUCAACAAAUACUUUUAAACAGUGCAAAGGUCCGACAUUCACAUCCUGGCAUAAAGACAGCAGGCCUGGCUGAGCGCAGCAGUGAGCACCUGUAAUCUCAGCACUUUGAGAAGCUGAGGUGGGUGC